UAGGGAAUCUUCCGCAAUGGACGCAAGUCUGACGGAGCAACGCCGCGUGAGUGAAGAAGGAUUUCGGUUCGUAAAACUCUGUUGUUAGAGAAGAACAGCGCAUAGAGUAACUGUUAUGCGUGUGACGGUAUCUAACCAGAAAGCCACGGCUAACUACGUGCCAGCAGCCGCGGUAAUACGUAGGUGGCAAGCGUUGUCCGGAUUUAUUGGGCGUAAAGCGAGCGCAGGCGGUCAAUUAAGUCUGAUGUGAAAGCCCCCGGCUCAACCGGGGAGGGUCAUUGGAAACUGGUUGACUUGAGUGCAGAAGAGGAGAGUGGAAUUCCAUGUGUAGCGGUGAAAUGCGUAGAUAUAUGGAGGAACACCGGUGGCGAGAGCGGCUCUCUGGUCUGUAACUGACGCUGAGGCUCGAAAGCGUGGGGAGCGAACAGG
rnacentral:rRNA from 1 species